rnacentral:rRNA from 1 species
AGUGAACGCUGGCGGUAGGCCUAACACAUGCAAGUCGAACGGCAGCACAGUAAGAGCUUGCUCUUACGGGUGGCGGGUGGCGGACGGGUGAGGAAUACAUCGGAAUCUACUUUUUCGUGGGGGAUAACGUAGGGAAACUUACGCUAAUACCGCAUACGACCUACGGGUGAAAGCAGGGGAUCUUCGGACCUUGCGCGAUUGAAUGAGCCGAUGUCGGAUUAGCUAGUUGGCGGGGUAAAGGCCCACCAAGGCGACGAUCCGUAGCUGGUCUGAGAGGAUGAUCAGCCACACUGGAACUGAGACACGGUCCAGACUCCUACGGGAGGCAGCAGCGGGGAAUAUUGGACAAAGGGCGCAAGCCUGAUCCAGCCAUACCGCGUGGGUGAAGAAGGCUUUCGGGUUGUAAAGCCCUUUUGUUGGGAAAGAAAAGCAGCAGGUUAAUACCCCGCUGUUCUGACGGUACCCAAAGAAUAAGCACCGGCUAACUUCGUG